UACGUAGGGGGCUAGCGUUGUCCGGAUUUACUGGGCGUAAAGGGCGCGUAGGCGGCAAAUUAAGUCAGCUGUGAAAUCUCCGAGCUUAACUCGGAACUGUCAGCUGAUACUGAUGUGCUAGAGUGCGGAAGGGGCAAUCGGAAUUCUUGGUGUAGCGGUGAAAUGCGUAGAUAUCAAGAGGAACACCUGAGGUGAAGACGGGUUGCUGGGCCGACACUGACGCUGAGUGCGCGAAAGCCAGGGGAGCAAACGGG
rnacentral:rRNA from 1 species